UGAAAUCCUUUUCAGUGAGCAAUGCCUAUCUUGAGUUCACAGAAUCUUUCUUUCUUUUUCGUUUUUUCCCACCCAGAUUGAAAUACAAAGGCAGAGGCCCAAUUCAAGUUGACUUUCUGACGAAAUAUGGUAUUUGACAGAACCCUGUAGACUAUAAGGGGGAUAUUUAAAGGAUGGAUCUUGAUGUUAACAGAGGACUCUCAGAGGAGGCCAGCAGGUUUUUUGUUUGGUUUGGGUUUUUUUGUUGUUUUUGUUUUGUUUUGUUUUGUUUUUUGGAGGCCUGAGCUGUAACAUCAUGAUCUGAUUCUAAACUUUACUGACCUUGAGUUACCUUUUUUUUUCCCUGAUAUGUUUCAAUUCCUGAGAAAAGCAAGAGCUGCAAGCCUGACUUAUAAUGUACUCAUUCAAUUAACCACGUGAGAGCAAAUCAAACCUUUCCAGGCAAUUUUGUUUGAAGUGUCUGCACUCUUCUCUGCAUCGUAUGAGGUGCCAACACCAGUGGGAGUUUGCCUGCGAUGGAUACUGAAUAUACGUGUCCCUUGUGUGGCCAGAAAAUUUUUGGGCAAUGCUGUUCACCACUGUGAAGACCAACCUGAAAACCUGGAUGUUAGGAAUAGUUCCUGAGCCUGUGGGCAAGGCUGGCUAGAUGAUCCUCUGCAUGGAUACUUGCACUCAAGUGUGUUGUCUUUCAUCAGGUCUGCAGGGAACAACAGUACUGAGACUUGUCAAGUCUGCUGCCCCUUCAUCUCUGUCUUUCCCAGUUUUGGACUAUGUAGCCCCUUCCCAAAGUUUCCUAAAAAAGAAAGAAGGAUGAAAGAUCAUGAAAAAAAUGAAAGAUUAUGAAAAAAAUGAACAGACGGAAGUUCUUCACGUGCAUCAAUGAGCUAUUAAAAGUGAAAUUCACAUUUGCUAUCUCUUUUGAGUGAGGCUUUGAAGCAGAAUGUAGCUCCCAAAGGCAUAUCUUCCCCCAGGAAAGGAUGUGAGGCAGCAAUGGUGGUGCUUGAAAACAACAGUUUGGGAUUGCUAAUGGUUUACAGCAGCAGCCUGAUGACGUACUUUUGCUGGAAGACCAGCUCUCUGAACUGCAGGAAUAAAAAGCAGAGCUUGGCAUCUGAGAGCAAGUGUGAUCUAUGAGAUGAAGUGACCCAGCCCAGGAUAUCUCCUGCUUAUUCCCUGCAACCUGGCAUUGAAUCUUCAUGUCUGACUCUUCCUGUGUUUGAAACAAACUCUUAUUUUUUUAUAGAUCUACUCAAGCACCACAUAUGCAUUUGACUGUAACCCCGCAUGAGGCUGAAUGUGGAUGUGAGAAAGAUGGAGGGGGAUGUGAUUUGGCCACCUGAGGAUCUUUCACCUGGCUUUGUGGAGAUUUCAGCUGGUUUUGAGGGCCAUAUCCUGUUCCAGCUGUAUCUGCACAAGAAAUAAUUUUAUCAUAGCUGAAAAGCCAAAUGCAAAUGCUGGUGCUUUUGGUGCUUUAUAGUGCUGAGACUGCUUCAGGAGAACAUUGGUGGGGAAGUUUGCCUGUGAAUCUUCUAAAAAGCUGAAGAUGAGCAGCGCAGACAACACAUCCGCGGUGCAAAGCUUUGGAGAGGCGUUUCACGGCGGAACACCAUGAGCGUUGACCUAAGACGCCGCUUUCUGCUCCGCAGGCCGAGUCCUCCGGAACUCCGGCUUGCCUGCUCCCAGGAGAGGGCAGUGGAGCCGCACACGCUCCGUGCCGCGGCCGCUGGGCCGCUCGGUUCCUGCGGGGCUGCGCGAGGCAUGCAUCCUAAGACAACAAGGAGCCUUGGCUGAAAACAGCAGAAUGUGGUUUUAAGCUACGCUCCUGUCUCGCCUGCAUUCUGCAGUGACUGGAGGAGCACUGAAACUGGAACAUCACCAAAGGCAGUGAAACAAAAACUGAGCAAUUGAGACAGCCUUUCUCAGCUGGGCGCAAGGUGCUGCAGGACUGGAGCGGAGCCUGUGAGGCAGAUGACAGCACUUAGGACCACCACAGAGAGGUCGUACAGAAAGAGGUGGUGUGCAAGGAAAAUAAGAAACGGGAGCAGAAACGGCGCUGACGACGGGGCAGCGGCUGCGCUCAACGCCAUGGGCUGACUCAGGACAGAGAG